rnacentral:rRNA from 1 species
GAUCAAGCUAGAAAGAGCAUAG